rnacentral:rRNA from 1 species
UACGCAGGGGGCUAGCGUUGCUCGGAAUCACUGGGCGUAAAGCGCACGUAGGCGGAUUGUUAAGUCAGGGGUGAAAUCCUGGAGCUCAACUCCAGAACUGCCUUUGAUACUGGCGACCUUGAGUCCGGGAGAGGUGAGUGGAACUGCGAGUGUAGAGGUGAAAUUCGUAGAUAUUCGCAAGAACACCAGUGGCGAAGGCGGCUCACUGGCCCGGUACUGACGCUGAGGUGCGAAAGCGUGGGGAGCAAACAGG